AGGAUUCCCCUAGUAAUGGCGAAUGAAGCGGGAACAGCUCAAAUUUAAAAUCUGCGUCGCUUGCGACGCCGAAUUGUAGUUUCGAGAAGCACUUUCUAGGCGAGUCCGGGGCCGUCCAAGUUGCUUGGAACAGCACGUCAUAGAGGGUGACAACCCCGUCUGUGGCGGAACCGGUCGCUGACGAUGCGCUUUCGACGAGUCGGGUUGUUUGGGAAUGCAGCCCAAAAUGGGUGGUAAACUCCAUCUAAAGCUAAAUAUUGGCACGAGACCGAUAGCGAACAAGUACCGUGAGGGAAAGAUGAAAAGCACUUUGAAAAGAGAGUUAAACAGUACGUGAAACCGUUAAAAGGGAAACGGAUGGGGUCAGCAAUGCGCUGCGCGAGAUUCAGCCGGGCGUCGCGUCGGGCGAGCGGUUUGUGGAUCCGAAUGGACCGCGGCCGCUCGGUUCGGCGCUUCGACCGUCGCACUUCUCGCCAGCGCGCGCCAGCGUCGGUUGGCACCGGGUCUUAAAGUCACGGGCAAGGUAGGCCCCCUCUCUCGGGAGGGGGCUGUUACAGGCCCGAGUCGCAUGGCCCGGGGCCGACCGAGGUGUCGCGGCGCGUGCCUCCCUUCGGGGUUGGCUGGGGUCCCGUCUCGCCGGUCGGUAGUCGAAUGCGGUGGACUGCGUGCAGUGCGCCGCGACCGCUGCCGGUCGCCGGAACGGUGACUUCGCACGACGCGCCAAGGACGCUGGCGGUCAAAUGGCCUCAUUCGACCCGUCUUGAAACACGGACCAAGGAGUCUAACAUGUGCGCGAGUCUUCGAGUGAAUGAAGCUCGCCGGCGCAAUGAAAGUGAAGGCGGCCUCGUGCCGCCGAGGCGAGAACCCGCCCCUCGGGGCGGGCGCAUCGUCGACCGACCUAUUCUGCUCUCAGGAAGGUUUGAGUGGGAGCGCACCUGUUGG
rnacentral:rRNA from 1 species